rfam:Gossypium hirsutum cultivar TM-1 chromosome 20, whole genome shotgun sequence
UUUUAAAAAUUUCAUUCAUUUCUAUUAUUAAAAACUAACAUUGCUUACAUAAUAAUCAAAUAGUGACACGCGGCAUGCCAUAUAUACCUCAUGUUGACAUAUAAAUACCAACUUUUGACAAUAAAAAUGGACGAAAUUUUUAACA